rnacentral:misc_RNA from 1 species
CUCCCCAAUUCCAAGGCUCAAAAUCCCAGCAAAAGGAGCAAGAGGUCGAUCAUUGUACCCAGAAGACAUCCAAAUAGGAAGUGCACAUCCCAGUAAGAGUGAAAAGUGGCUGACAAUAAGAAGAUCAGAGUCACGAUGAUCUGUGAAUGCAUUCAUGAAUUGAUGUACGAGUUGUCCCAAUGGCCAAAUUCUCCAUAUUCGAAUAAUUUCUACGGUCAAGAAAACAGCCAAGGCUGCACCAAAUGCAAGGUCAAGAAAUUUUGGCUGGAAGAUGACAGCAGGCAGAAACAUUAUAACAGCCAUCAGAUGGUAAUACUUCCGAAGAAGAAUCCUCUCAAUCUUACUACUCCUUGAAAUGUUGUAAAACCGCAGGACAGAUGCAUAAAUCACACAUAACCAAUAGAUACAUAAUGAAAGUCUUUUAACUGGCUCAGAGAAGACAAAUGUCAACACCCAUAAAAAUGGAUGCACUUGAAAAUCCUGAACAAACUGCAUCCAUGAAGGGGUGAUCACAACAGUGAUG